CCUACGGGGGGCAGCAGUGAGGAAUAUUGGUCAAUGGACGAGAGUCUGAACCAGCCAAGUAGCGUGAAGGAUGACUGCCCUAUGGGUUGUAAACUUCUUUUAUAUGGGAAUAAAACGUUCCACGUGUGGGAUUUUGUAUGUACCUUAUGAAUAAGGAUCGGCUAACUCCGUGCCAGCAGCCGCGGUAAUACGGAGGAUCCGAGCGUUAUCCGGAUUUAUUGGGUUUAAAGGGAGCGUAGGUGGAUUGUUAAGUCAGUUGUGAAAGUUUGCGGCUCAACCGUAAAAUUGCAGUUGAAACUGGCAGUCUUGAGUACAGUAGAGGUAGGCGGAAUUCGUGGUGUAGCGGUGAAAUGCUUAGAUAUCACGAAGAACUCCGAUUGCGAAGGCAGUUCACUAGACUGCCACUGACACUGAGGCUCGAAAGUGUGUGUAUCAAACAGGAUUAGAUACCCUUGUAGUC
rnacentral:rRNA from 1 species